UCUUAGUAACCAGACGAAAAAAAAAGCAAAAGCGAUUCCCCAAGUAGCGGUGAGCGAAACGGGAACAGCCCAAACCAAUUUAUUAUAAAUUGGGGUUGUGGGUUAAUUAACUCAAUAUUUAGAAAAAAAAGAAAUGAAUUAGUUGAAUGCUAAACCAAAGAUGGUGAAAGUCCAGUAAUUUUUUUAUAAACGUAAAUAUAAAUUAACCCGAGUAGCAUGAAACUCGUGGAAUUUCGUGUGAAACUGCGAGGACCACCUCGUAAGGCUAAAUACUACUGAAUAACCGAUAGCGCAUAGUACCGUGAGGGAAAGGUGAAAAGAACCCCAGUAGGGGAGUGAAAUAGAACAUGAAAUCAUUAGCUUACAAGCAGUAGGAGAUGUUUAAUACAUUGACUGCGUGCCUGUUGAAGAAUGAGCCGGCGACUUAUAGGCGGUGGCAAGGUUAAAGGUAUUACCCUGGAGCCGAAGCGAAAGCAAGUCUUAAUAGGGCUUUAAGUCACCGUUUAUAGACCCGAACCCAAGUGAUCUAACCAUGGUCAGGUUGAAGCUUCGGUAACACGAAGUGGAGGACCGAACCGACCGAUGUUGAAAAAUCGGCGGAUGAACUGUGGUUAGGGGUGAAAUACCAAUCGAACUUGGAGCUAGCUGGUUCUCUCCGAAAUGCGUUGAGGCGCAGCGAUUAAUAACGGGCUGUCAGGGGUAAAGCACUGUUUCGGUGCGGGUUGCGAGAGCGAUACCAAAUCGUAGCAAACUAAGAAUACUGUACAAGCUUUCUAUUAAUCAGUGAGACUACGGGGGAUAAGCUCCGUUGUCGAAAGGGAAACAGCCCAGACCAUCAGCUAAGGCCCCUAAAUGAUUACUAAGUGAUAAAGGAGGUAGAGAUGCGUAAACAACCAGAAGGUUUGCCUAGAAGCAGCCAUCCUUGAAAGAGUGCGUAACAGCUCACUGGUCUAGCGUCUCCGCGCCGAAAAUGCACGGGACUAAGUAAUCUGCCGAAGCUAUGGGAUUCUUUAGAUUAAAGAAUCGGUAGGAGAGCGUUCUGUUUUAGGGCGAAGUUAAAACGUGAGUUUUAGUGGACGAAACAGAAGUGAGAAUGUCGGCUUGAGUAACGAAAACACUGGUGAGAAUCCAGUGCCCCGAAAACCUAAGGGUUCCCCCACAAGGCUCGUCCGGGGGGGGUGAGUCAGGACCUAAGAUGAGGCCGAAGGGCGUAAUCGAUGGAAAGCAGGUCAAUAUUCCUGCACUACAUAAAAAUUGGCACCAGGGGACAGAGUAAAAUCAAAGAUUAGACAAUAGGGUUGUUCUAAUUAAGUUAAGUUAAAUUGGUGGACGAAAAAAUACCAGUAAUUUAAAUAACUUUUAAAUUUUGACUAUAUUCUCUAGAAAAGCCUGUACUGCUUUGGCGAAAGCGCCAGAAAUCUUUAUGUACCUGUACCCAGAACCGACACAGGUGGGUAAGUAGAGAAUACUAAGGGGUGCGAGAUAACUCUCUCUAAGGAACUCGGCAAAAUGGCCCCGUAACUUCGGGAGAAGGGGUACCUACGAAAGUAGGUCGCAGUGACCAGGCCCAAGCGACUGUUUAUCAAAAACACAGGUCUCCGCAAAGUCGUAAGACAACGUAUGGGGGCUGACGCCUGCCCAGUGCCGGAAGGUUAAAGAAGUUGGUUAACUUAGGUGAAGCUAACGACUGAAGCCCCGGUGAACGGCGGCCGUAACUAUAACGGUCCUAAGGUAGCGAAAUUCCUUGUCGGGUAAGUUCCGACCCGCACGAAAGGCGUAACGAUUUGGGCGCUGUCUCGGAGAGAGGCUCGGCGAAAUAGAAUUGUCUGUGAAGAUGCGGACUACGUACACCCGGACAGAAAGACCCUAUGAAGCUUUACUGUAGGUUGAUAUUGGUCUCGGGCUCUGAAUGCGCAGGAUAGGUGGGAGACUAUGAAGUAGUGCUCGUGGGUGCUACUGAGUCAAUGGUGAGAUACCACUCUUUUAGAGCUAGGGUUCUAACGCUUACCCGUUAUCCGGGAAGCGGACAGUAUCUGCUGGGCAGUUUGACUGGGGCGGUCGCCUCCUAAAAGGUAACGGAGGCGUACAAAGGUUCCCUCAGGCUGGUUGGAAAUCAGUCGCUGAGUGCAAAAGCAGAAGGGAGCUUGACUGUGAGACCUACAAGUCGAACAGGGACGAAAGUCGGUUUUAGUGAUCCGACGGUUCUGAGUGGAAGGGCCGUCG
rnacentral:rRNA from 1 species